AGCUCUGUUUCGCUUAUAGGCACAUUAAGAUCAGGUUUUACUAGUUCGGUUAUAGAAAUGAAAUUACGAGGAGGGAGAAGGACACCGUCAGAAAUUGCAGGAGUAGCAUUCUUUUCUACUCCUUCAUGGCUGUUUGAACCAGCACUACCUAUGACUAUGGAGGAGGAUAAAUUUGAGUCCAAAGCUCGGGAAUGCUCGGAAUCUGGCAUCCCAAGUGCUGCAUCAACCU